rnacentral:lncRNA from 1 species
UGUUUGGAUGAAGAUUUAUUGGGUUAGGAUGAACAUCAAUAAUAAGAUCAAUACUUCUGAUUUGAAAAUCGAAUCUUUUAUCAUUAUUAUUUGUGAUAUUUUUAUUUUUAGCUGUUCAUUUUGAGCCUAAUCGUUUACUAGACAAAUGAAGUCAAAAAAAUUAUAAAAUAUGAUUUAUAAAUAGUUCAAAAAUAACGGAGCUGAUCACCGAAUUGGAUGAUCCAUCAUGGCAAGUAACUUACAAUUACGGAAGGCCUCUGUACUUUAGAAAGCACAGGAGUCUAGCUCUCUCUCUCUAUAUAUAGUUGAGCAGGAAUAUUUUUAACAGUAUUUGUGUUUUUUUACUAUCGAUUUUUUAGCCGUUAGAUGCAAAUUUUUAUCAAUUUCAUUCUUUAGAUCAUACUAUUCAACUAAAAACCCACUCAACUUUAGUUGGAAAAACUAGUCAACCCUAGGAGAUCACUAUUAUCUUAAUUGUACAAUUUUUCAUCCAAGAGUUAAAAACUCGAUAGCAAAAAAAGCUAAAUACUAUUAUAGUAGCAGGACUGCUGUGUUCUCAGGAGCACAGAGGCCUCCGUGCUCCUAAGCUGUUUUCGAUGAUGAAAUUUUCGAAUCGACGAACGGCUCCGUUAAACUUGAUCUAGCGUAUUUGAAGUUUCUAGAAAAUAAUUUUUGCAAUUUUUCGAUAUCAUUUACCUAGUAAUCGAAACGAUUCAAAAUCAAUAAUUUUAACGGCUGAAAAUAAAAAUCCUAUAAAAAGUGGUGCUAUAGCACUAAAAUUUUCGAUCAAAACUAUUGAUCUUGUUGUAGACAGUAUAAAGAAUUUUGUAUCAAAAUUUCAUCUGAUUUGAAUAUUUCUAUAUCGUUAAACUUGAAAACGGCAGAUAUCAACCAUUAAAAAUUAUUGAUUUUUAAUCCUUUCGAUCACUAGGUAAAUGAUAUCGAAAAAUUGCAAAAAUUAUUUUCUAGAAACCUCAAAUACCCUAGAUCAAGUCUAACGGAGCCGAUCGUCAAUUCGAAAUUUUCAUCAUCGAAAACGGCUCAGGAGCACGGAGGAGGCCUCCGUGCUCCUAAGAGCACAGCAGCCCUGCUCCUA